rnacentral:lncRNA from 1 species
CUUAUUAACACCAUCCCUCCCCCUGUGUGCAGGCUGGGCUGGAUAUUACACACAGUGCCACUCCAACACCUGUGUCUGUGGAGGCUGGAAAAGAAGUGAUUGCUGAGAAUGGCUGCUUCACUGGGUAUGAGACAUCCCAAGCCAGACACCUGGACUGCUUCAUACAGACAGUGGGCAGAGCACUGGCUCAGAACUGAAGAUCACCAGUUCAUCAUCCUUCCUGAUCUCCAUCAAAGUUCAGUGAAUCUUAUCCAUGGAUUGUGUGGGCAGGUGGCAUUUUUAGUCCUUGACAGAGCCUGAAAGAAGAGAUUUUAGUCUUUAAUUAGGGCUUCAGGAUGCUUCUUCAAGAAUAGCAGUAACAGACACAGAACUACUGUUUGUGCUUUUGAAAUUUUUUUGGACAUAUUUUGCAGGAUAUCUGUGAAAGGCUGGUUUGGUUUUUUUUAUCCUGUAAUAUUUGCUUCUUGCCCAGAAUAGCUUCUCCAUAGCCAGAGAUAGGAAUCUCAUGUUUAAGAGCAUCCAUGUUUCUGUUUUCAUUUUGUUUAAAAACCGUCAGCUAUAGCCAGGACUAUCAUAAACCCACAAAAUCUCAGUCCAGUUCAGCUUGUCACCUUGCCAAGAAUGCUG